ensembl:lncRNA
CAUAACAUGAGAUGUGACAGCUCAGCGAGAUUGUGUCAUGUCAUCGUACAAGUGGUACCACAUGUCUGUCACGUCAGGCUGUUAUGAAAUGUUUAUGUCAUUGUGUGUUACAAAAGCACAAACCGUCACGUAACCACGACGAUAGCAUUUCAUGCCUCGUUCCAGUAACUAUAAAAGCCAUAAUGUCAGUCUCAAGACUUGGAUUGAGAGCCUGGGGUAACAUCUGGGUGCACAGCUGCUCGUCUCAGUGGGUUUGUCUUUACAUUUACAGCAGUCGUGUAAGUCACUGGUAGGAUCAGUGGUGUGCAGUUUAAUUACAGAGAGCUGCAGAGACACACACGCAGACAGACACCUUCCAGUGUGUAUUUUCUAACACCUGCAUGUAAAAUUAGAGCAUUCAAACACCAGGCUUUGGUCUGGUUACAACAGUUGUGUUUUUCUUUAAAGGACUAGUUACACUUUUUUCCUUUAUUGCUUAGUUAGUUUUGUAGUCUACAAACCAGUGUUCAUUUUGGCAGCUAUUUUUGAUUUAGUCUUAGUCUUUAGACGAAAAAUGCAUAUUAGUUUUAGUCACAUUUUGUCAUUUUAAUCCUUCUUAGUUUUAGUCUAGUUUUAGUUGACGAAAACUAGACUAAAAUGUAAUUGUUUUAGUCUAGUUUUAGUCACAUUAAAUAGCCAUAUUAAACUCCUUUUCUUCCCUUCUCAGGCCCAGGGACCCCCUCUGUUGUGUCUACAACUGCAUAAUAGUCCAGCUUGCAGUACUUGGUUGUCCAUCAGAUGUCCCUCCUAGGACAGGCCUAUAGAUGUCCCUCCUAGGACAGGCCUAUAGAUGUCCCUCCUAGGACAGGCCUAUAGAUGUCCCUCCUAGGACAGGUCUAUAGAUGUCCCUCCUAGGACAGGUCUAUAGGAGGGUCGGCAAACGUUUUGACUCGCGGGCCACAAUGGGUUGUAAAAUGUGACGGAGCAGCCGGGCCAAGAACAAAUGGUUGAAGUGUUUGUGUGAGCUGAUAUAAAUGACAUGUGAAAAAUAUUACAUGAAAGGAUUUGGAUUUUAACAAAUAGCAAAGCAUUUAUUUGCAAGGCAAUUUAACAAAUUGGCAAAGGUGUAACAACUUGAUGAGGACCAGGGAUCUAAACGCAACACUUUGUUGUCUUUGUCUGUUUACUUGCAACGCUUUUGACACGGCC